rnacentral:snRNA from 1 species
GGGUGAUUGGUUGUAACAUCUGUCACCCCACUGAUCGCUGGGAUUGAUUUGUGGGACCUGGCUUGCUGGGUGGUGUCCCCUUCCUCCAUCUCUGCUCCCCUCCUAAAGUUGCCUCCUUUUUGGAAGAGGACCAAUUUACUGUGUUCCCUGCUAGAACCUCCAAAUAUGCUCUUGGGGAUGCUGAGGGGAGGGAGCUGGCUGGGACACUGGAGCAAUGCACAAGGCAGCUCUCACU